AGAUUGAACGCUGGCGGCAUGCCUUACACAUGCAAGUCGAACGCGAAAGGGGGGCAACCCCCGAGUAGAGUGGCGAACGGGUGAGUAAUACAUCGGAACGUGUCCAGUAGCGGGGGAUAACCUCUCGAAAGAGAAGCUAAUACCGCAUACGACCUACGGGUGAAAGAGGGGGAUCGCAAGACCUCUCACUAUUGGAGCGGCCGAUGUCGGAUUAGCUAGUUGGCGGGGUAACGGCCCACAAGGCUACGAUCCGUAGCUGGUCUGAGAGGACGACCAGCCACACUGGAACUG
rnacentral:rRNA from 1 species